rnacentral:rRNA from 1 species
GACGAACCGUGCGAACGUUGUUCGGAAUAACUGGGCUUAAAGGGUGCGUAGGCGGGUUCACAAGUCGGGGGUGAAAGCCCAUAGCUCAACUAUGGAAGAGCCUUCGAUACUGUGGGUCUAGAGGGAGGUAGGGGCAUGCGGAACUUCCGGUGGAGCGGUGAAAUGCGUAGAUAUCGGAAGGAACACCGGUGGCGAAAGCGGCGUGCUGGACCUCUACUGACGCUGAGGCACGAAAGCUAGGGGAGCAAACGGG